GUAACGGCGAGUGAACCGGGAAAAGCUCAAAUUUGAAAUCUGCCAACAGGCCGAGUUGUAAUUUGUAGAUGGCUACACUGCAUAAUAGUAGAUGCUCAAGUUCUUUGGAAAAAGACAUCAUGGAGGGUGACAAUCCCGUGAGGCAUGUUACUAGGAGCAUAUAGUGGGCUUUCUAAGAGUCGAGUUGUUUGGGAAUGCAGCUCAAAGUGCGUGGUGAAUACCAUGUAAAGCUAAAUAUGGACGAGAGACCGAUAGCGAACAAGUACUGUGAAGGAAAGAUGAAAAGCACUCCGAAAGGAGAGUGAAAUAGUACGUGAAAUUGUUAAAGUGGAAGGGCUUGAGAUCAGAAUUGGUAGUUUGGGUUCCACGUCCUCUUGGGGGCGUGUACUCCCUUUCCACCGGGCCAGCGGGAGUUUCGUCUCUUGGGUAAAAGCAGUGGAAUGUAGCAGCUUGUCUGUAUUAUAGCCUCUGUUCAUACAAGACGUCGAGACUUGAUUUGUUGGCGUAAUGAUCUCUAGCCACCCGUCUUGAAACACGGACCUCCUGUGUGAAGUGA
rnacentral:rRNA from 1 species